AUUCAAUAAUGAGGGCACUUCCAUAAUAAUUCCUUUUACCUUUCUCAUGCCUCAAACAAGGACUCAUCAUCCGUUUGUUGGAAAGCAGUGAUCUCGCUCCUCAACUU
rfam:Gossypium hirsutum cultivar TM-1 chromosome 8, whole genome shotgun sequence